rnacentral:rRNA from 1 species
UGAGGAAUAUUGGUCAAUGGGCGAAAGCCUGAACCAGCCAUGCCGCGUGCAGGAAUAAGGCCCUAUGGGUCGCAGACUGCUUUUGCAUGAGAAUAAAAAGUGGGACGAGUCCCACCCUGUAGGUAUCAUGCGAAUAAGGAUCGGCUAACUCCGUGCCAGCAGCCGCGGUAAUACGGAAGGUCCGGGCGUUAUCCGGAUUUAUUGGGUUUAAAGGGAGCGCAGGCGGGCUUUUAAGUCAGUUGUGAAAUACGGCGGCUCAACCGUCGGACUGCAGUUGAUACUGGAAGCCUUGAGUUCACACAGGGAUGCCGGAAUUCAUGGUGUAGCGGUGAAAUGCUCAGAUAUCAUGAAGAACCCCGAUCGCGAAGGCAGGCAUCCGGGGUGUUACUGACGCUGAGGCUCGAAAGUGCGGGUAUCAAACA